AGUUUCGGUUGCCAAAAAGUAAGUCUCGUUAAUUGAAAGACAAGUUGCAAUUGCUGAAAAAGGAUUGGCUAUUAUGCAACAAAGUAGGCCUCGCCUUUAUAGCGAAUCAGAUGUAUGGGAUAUGUUGACUGAAUUGGGUCUAAUAGGUUCAGCUCGGAUGCAGUGUUAUCAAUUUUUAUGUGAAAAUGAGCAGAAAAAGCGCCAAAUUUUUGGGAUCCCACCUGAAAUGCGAUUGGAUGCUCUUUUUCAUUUCGUGACAGCUGCUGGUGUUCGCUUAGGAGAUAUAGUACUUUCAUAAAACAUUAACCAUUACAGGAAUCAUAACUUGAAAAUGCUUGGGAACGAGAAGUACACUGCUUAGUACAAGUAAAAAUCGAUCAUGUGUUAAUAUUUUUGACUCGGAGAAACUUUAUUUUUUUGAAGUAGAUGGGUACAGAUGGCUCAAGUUAUGUAGAAUUGAUUUUUUGGAAGUAGGCGAUGUCGCUGACUAUGAAGAAUUACCCUUUUGAAAAGUGUUGUCUGAUGAUAAAAUAGUAAUCUCUAGGAGUUCUUUUGGUUAUUACUUUUUUGGCGUUUUGUUAUAUGUUUAUAAAAAUUGUAUAUGAUUUUUGGUCGCACGUACUUGGAAAGAAAUGCUACCAACUUUUGA